rnacentral:rRNA from 1 species
AAAGAAGGCAGGAAAGAAAGAGCUGACGAUGCCCCCUCUUUUUUAAUUUAUCAGUGGAACUUGAUAUUUGCCUUAAAAAGUGCAACUCUCUGGGGGGACGAUAAGACCCUAUGAAACUUUGSMUUUAUUUCAUCUUAAUGUACUUAGGACUCUUAGGGUGUAUUAAAUUAAGCUGGGGCGGUAGCUAGGACACACUAGCAGAGGUAACGAGAUUAUUGAAGAUAUAGAUCUUACGCAGAGGUAGAAUAAGUUACUUUAGGGAUAACAGCACAAUUUUUUUGUAUAGUUCGUAUAGAAUAAAAAGACUUGUGACCUCGAUGUUGAAUUGGGGGGCCCUGUUGAAGUAAAAAUUAAUGAGGGGGGUCUGUUUUUUUCUUUAGUUCCCC